CAUCGUCGUCUGCCGGCUGGCCGGCCGGCCCAGCCCUCCCAGCCCUCCCCCUCCCCGCCUCCUCAGGGCAGCCCGCCCGCCCGUCGGGGCCGGGGAGGGCAGCCAGGCCGACCCGCCAGAUUGUUAGGGCCGGCGCACCGCGGGGAGGGGCGGACGGGCGAGAAGCCGCGAGGGGCAGGAGGGGCGCCGCGGUCCGAGGCCGGGCUGCGGAUGCGGCCGCACAGUGCUGUGAGCGGCCGGGAGGAUUUACCGACGCCGCCGCCGUCGCUGGUGCACCUCCCGCCCCUCCGGGACGCUGCCGCCUCCUUCCCACCCGCAUUGGCCCUUAUGUCUUGCAAACUUCUCUCCAUACAUUGGCUGGUUCUGAUGGUGCUGACCACAGCAUGAGGCCUCUGGGAGCUGAGGGAAUUCCCCCGUUGUGCUGGGUUCUGGCUCGUCUGCACUCCUUGCCUUCCUCUGGUGCUGCCCUGGCUCAGGGUUCAGCCACCAUAGAAGAAGUCUGAUUAUCCUGAGACUACCAGACUCUUAAGGAAGCCUAAGUGAGCCACUUGAAGAUGUCACAUGAAGGAGGAUCAAAGUGCUUUGAUUGACAGCCCCACAUGAAAUCCCAGCCUCCAGGCAGCACCAACUGCCACUGUCUUGGACAUUCCAAAUCAGUUGCACCUCCGCCGAGCCAUCCUGGACAUUCCAGACCAGUUGAGCCUCCAGAUGACUGCGGCCACAGCUCAACCCACAUAAGGAAGAACUACCCAGGAAAUGUUUUCCACCUGCCUUAAGAAGAGUAGCAAUAUCACUGACCCCAUGAAAAUGAGAAGACACAAAUUAGCUGAAGAAGCAUCAGCAUUUUUUUAAAAAGUUUAGGAAGUUCCCCACACCUUCUCAUCAAGAACAGUGAUGCCAGAGUGGUCCAUCUGGUGUGUCAGGCUGCAGGCUGGUACCCAGAGCCUGAGGCAAGCUGGGGAGAUCCCUAAGGACAGAAUUUAAAGCCACACUCUGAAAACAACAGAGCAGGUGGAAAAAGCCUGUUCUCCACUGAGCCUUCAUUCCUGGUAACCGUGACCUCUUUGGUCCUCAACCCCAGGAUCAACGAGAAGAAGGAAAUAACUAUUUCUGUUGUCAGAUCUGGCCAUAGGCAAUUACAAAGUCUUUCUGGACCUGAAACAUAGACUGCCAGAUAUUUCUCCAGCAAAGAUGGGUUUAUUCAGGAUCAGCAAAGAAUUGCAGUUCGGGAUCUGCAACCAUGGCGAGCCACAUGCAAGUCCCCACACAGCAAAAGAAGAAAAGGGGAAAAGGAAGUUGGGAGGGCUGCAGUUAACAAAGAGUCUGUGGCUUUUCUUUGGCUGAGUCCUUGCCUGGAAAGGAGAGGAGACUUCUUGCUCUUGGGCUCUGCAGUGGUGCUGGGUGUGAGAGCUCCCCUUUCUGGUCUCCCAACUCUAUUUAAUGGAGGUUUCUGUUUAUUAAUUUUUUAUAGCUUUAUCUGGCUGCCCUCCCCACACCCGACUUGGAGCACAGCCUGUGCAUUGCAGUCUCUGAAAGGAAUUGCAGUCAAUGACGCAGGCCCACCCCCGGCCACCUAUGCUCGUAUGUAUAUCUGCAUCCCUAGUUCAAGUGCCUCUGGAGGCCUCUUCACUGGGGCUCUUGGCAGAAGCCUUCGUCAGACACUUCUGCCGAAACCGCUUUGUUGGGAAGAGGGGAGGGAACCUUGAAGCCAUGUUCUCCGCACUGACUCAGCACUCAGUACUUUUCCAAGUCUAGCCUACUCUCCCUGCCCCUGGCUUCCAGGUCCAUGAAAUUGCGGGAGCUUUCUGAUCAGGGCUCCCUCAGCAGUGAGACAAGCCCCACAUCUGUGCUAAUCCACUUAACCCUUAACUGACGCACCAUUCCUUGAAGGAAAAUGGAAUGGAGGAGUCAGUGCUUUCUCCUGUUUAGCCUCUUGCUUGUACUAUGACAGUAAGUGAUUAAAA